rnacentral:lncRNA from 1 species
AAACCUUGGCUUAACUUUCCUACUUCAAGUAGGAAUCCUUUGUUGGAGUAGGAAUCCUUGAAUGAGUAGGAAUCCUUCUUCAAUUAGGAAUCCUUUGUUGAUUAGGAAUCCUUCUUGGAUUAGGAAAACUAACUUUCUUCCAAGACUUCAAUUCAUCCAUUCCUUUUGUUCCAAAAGGCUCCAAUUUGCUUCUUUUUGCACACUUUGGCCUUAGAACCUGAAAACACAAAAGUGACUUUAAACACUAAAAUAGCUAAGUAAACACAACUUACAUGCACGAGAACAAGCCAAUUAAGUAGCAUAAAUAUGCUCCUGUCAAAUUCCCCCACACUUAGCUUUUUGCUAGUCCUCGAGCAAAACAAAAAAAGAAAGGAAACAAAACGAAACAAACUAACCAAAACAAACCUAAACCUUCCAACAUUUGCCUCAGGGAUUUCCAAUGCACAUGACAUGUUAAAGAUUGUUAUCCCACAGAUUUGAGUUUUCUUUACUCGUAAGCACAUACUUAAUUAAAGCCAUUACUUACUAGUUCACAAGUAAUCAAUUAAAAACAAUGCUUUGAAUGUAGUAACAUGCCUUAGAGAAUUCCUCAAUUCCUUACAAGAUGUACACUCUAUUUUCACUCAGAUUUUCUAACUCCACACCCUACACUAGUCAUAUGUGAGAAGAUUGAUGUAGAUAUGAAAACGAAUGCUCCAUAUAUGUUUCACAAAGAACGCAAUUCUAGAGUUAAGAAGCAUGUUUAGAUAUGAUCUCAUGAAUGGAAUGCUACUACUUAGAUGCGAGAACCAGUGACACCAUAUGCUCAUACUAAUUCAAACUCUACAAAUUGAAACACAUAACACUCAAGAUAGAAGUUAAGGGUUGUAA